rnacentral:rRNA from 1 species
GUACGGCCGCAAGGUUAAAACUCAAAUGAAUUGACGGGGGCCCGCACAAGCGGUGGAGCAUGUGGUUUAAUUCGAUGCAACGCGAAGAACCUUACCUACUCUUGACAUCCAGAGAACUUAGCAGAGAUGCUUUGGUGCCUUCGGGAACUCUGAGACAGGUGCUGCAUGGCUGUCGUCAGCUCGUGUUGUGAAAUGUUGGGUUAAGUCCCGCAACGAGCGCAACCCUUAUCCUUUGUUGCCAGCGGUUCGGCCGGGAACUCAAAGGAGACUGCCAGUGAUAAACUGGAGGAAGGUGGGGAUGACGUCAAGUCAUCAUGGCCCUUACGAGUAGGGCUACACACGUGCUACAAUGGCAUAUACAAAGAGAAGCGACCUCGCGAGAGCAAGCGGACCUCAUAAAGUAUGUCGUAGUCCGGAUUGGAGUCUGCAACUCGACUCCAUGAAGUCGGAAUCGCUAGUAAUCGUAGAUCAGAAUGCUACGGUGAAUACGUUCCCGGGUCUUGUACACACCG